rnacentral:rRNA from 1 species
UCCAGACUCCUACGGGAGGCAGCAGUGGGGGAUAUUGCACAAUGGGGGGAACCCUGAUGCAGCGACGCCGCGUGGGUGAAGAAGCGCCUCGGCGCGUAAAGCCCUGUCAGCAGGGAAGAAAAUGACGGUACCUGAAGAAGAAGCCCCGGCUAACUACGUGCCAGCAGCCGCGGUAAUACGUAGGGGGCAAGCGUUAUCCGGAUUUACUGGGUGUAAAGGGAGCGUAGACGGCGGUGCAAGCCAGAUGUGAAAGCCCGGGGCUCAACCCCGGGACUGCAUUUGAAACUGUUUUUCUUGAGUACUGGAGAGGCAGACGGAAUUCCUAGUGUAGCGGUGAAAUGCGUAGAUAUUAGGAGGAACACCAGUGGCGAAGGCGGUCUGCUGGACAGCAACUGACGCUGAGGCGCGAAAGCGUGGGGAGCAAACAGGAUUAGAUACCCCGGUA